rnacentral:misc_RNA from 1 species
GAGAGAGAGAGAGGCAGAGGCCUUGGUGGUGGGCAAAUCACAAGUGAGGGAGAGUAGACAGAGUCGUAGAGAGAGAAGAAGAAGCAAAGAGAAGAAUGCCAGAGGGAGAGCAGACAGAGGCAAACUACAAGGGGGUGAGGGGAGGUGUAACCAGUGUGACAAAACUUAUUUAACUCUAAAGCUAAAAUUUAAAAUAAAGUGUUUAAUGAAUUCAGUUCAGGUUUUCUCUUUUUUAAUUUAAAAACAGAACUGGAUUGAAAUAUCAAAUAGACUGAAAAUCACAAAAACCGAAUCAAAUUACCAACUAAACCAAACUGAAUUUCUGAAUUCAGUCAGUUAGCAAUUUUGGUGCAAACUGAAUGGUGCUCACACUUUAUUGCUUCAGUUUCUCAAUCUCGAGAC